GUGGAAGUUAAAAUAAGCUGCUCCUGUUUUUACCCGCAGUAUCACAUUAAGGAGAUUAUUCUGAGUAAGCCAAUGUCAUUUUGUUUAUACUGUUAAAAAGCGUGUCUCGUCAUGUACUUCACUUUCACUGCUCUGUAGAAUGACUUAGAACAGAUUUUACAGAUUGAUGCAAGCAACUUUCCUGAAAUAUGAUCUUGCUGGCUGCUUUUUCUUUAUCUUUGAAGUCUGCAAGUUUAUUCAGCAUAUUAUUUUCUGUUGUCAGGUCAACAGAAUGAGUCCCUGAGAAGCCUGGUCACGGUGAUGACCACUGUAAACACAGAAGUCAUAGACUGAAUUUUGGGCCCUGUUUGGGUUCUUUUGCAGUGGGGGAGGGGGAUGACUAUCAUAGAAUCCUAGAAUCAUAGAAUUACCCAGAUUGGAAAAGACCCUGAAGAUCAUCAAGUCCAACCACAGCCUAACCAUAGUACCCUAACUCUAACAACCAUCUGCUAAAUCAUAUCCCUGAGCACCACAUCCAAAUGGCUCUUAAACACAUCCAGGUAUGGUGACUAUAUUAACUACUAAAAUAAUUCCUGAAAGUUUGCAUGUUUGAAAAGGCUAAAGCUGGGGAG
rnacentral:lncRNA from 1 species